AAAGGGCCGCGGUAUACUGACCGUGCGAAGGUAGCACAAUCAUUAGUCUUUUAAUUGAAGGCUUGUAUGAAUGGUUGGACAAAAAGUAAGCUGUCUCAAUUAUAAUAAUUGAAUUUAACUUUUAAGUGAGAAGGCUUAAAUAGAUUAAGGGGACGAUAAGACCCUAUAAAGCUUGACAAUAAAUCGUUUAUAUUAUAAACUGUUAGUGUAACUUGAUUUUAAACGGUGUUUGUUGCGUUGGGGCGACGGGAAUAUAAAAGGUAACUGUUCUUAUAACAUUUAAUAACAGAAAUAUCUGAAAAAUUAAUGAUCCUUUUUUAAAGAUCAUAAGAUUAGUUACUUUAGGGAUAACAGCGUAAUCUUCUUUAAGAGUCCAUAUCGACAGGAAGGGUUGCGACCUCGAUGUUGAAUUAAGGGAUCCUUAUAAUGCAGCAGUUAUAAAGGAAGGUCUGUU
rnacentral:rRNA from 1 species